AUGCAGGGCAGUACAGGGGAGGGCAAGGCUGUACAGGGCAGGGCAGUGCAGUAUAGGGUAGGGCAAGGCAGGGCAGUACAGUACAGGGGAGGGCAGGGCAGUACAGUACAGGGGAGGGCAGGGCAGUACAGUACAGGGCAGGGCAGUACAGGGGAGGGCAGGGCAGUACAGUACAGGGGAGGGCAGGGCAGUACAGUACAGGGGAGGGCAGGGCAGUACAGUACAGGGCAGGGCAGGGCAGUACAGUACAUUAUAGGGCAGGGCAGUACAGUACAUUAUAGGGCAGUACGGUACAGGGCAGGGCUGUGCAGUAUAGGGCAGUACAGGACAGGGGAGUACAGUACAGUACAGUAUAGGGCAGGGCAGUACAGGACAGGGGAGGGCAAGGCAGUACAGGGCAGGGAACUACAGUACAGGGCAGGGCAGUACAGUACAGGGCAGGGCGGUUCAGGGCAGUACAGUGCAGGGCAGGGCAGGGCAGUGCAGUACAGUACAGUACAGGGAUAGUACAGGGCAGGGCAGUACAGUACAGGUGUAGCGGCAAGGCUUAUUAAAAUACAGGAAUUAAGUGUUGCUGUGCUUUCCCA
rnacentral:lncRNA from 1 species